rnacentral:rRNA from 1 species
UAGGGAAUCUUCGGCAAUGGACGAAAGUCUGACCGAGCAACGCCGCGUGAGUGAAGAAGGUUUUCGGAUCGUAAAACUCUGUUGUUAGAGAAGAACAAGGACGUUAGUAACUGAACGUCCCCUGACGGUAUCUAACCAGAAAGCCACGGCUAACUACGUGCCAGCAGCCGCGGUAAUACGUAGGUGGCAAGCGUUGUCCGGAUUUAUUGGGCGUAAAGCGAGCGCAGGCGGUUUCUUAAGGCUGAUGUGAAAGCCCCCGGCUCAACCGGGGAGGGUCAUUGGAAACUGGGAAGCUUGAGUGCAGAAGAGGAGAGUGGAAUUCCAUGUGUAGCGGUGAAAUGCGUAGAUAUAUGGAGGAACACCAGUGGCGAAGGCGGCUCUCUGGUCUAUAACUGACGCUGAGGCUCGAAAGCGUGGGGAGCAAACAGG